AGUGGAAUUGCUGGGUCAUAUGGCAAUUCUAUGUUUAACUUUCUGAGGAACUGCCUAACUAUUUUCCACAGCAGCUGCACCAUUUAC
rnacentral:miRNA from 1 species